UACGGAGGGUGCAAGCGUUAUCCGGAUUCACUGGGUUUAAAGGGUGCGUAGGCGGACAUGUAAGUCCGUGGUGAAAUCUCUAAGCUUAGCUUGGAAACUGCCAUGGAUACUAUAUGUCUUGAAUGUUGUGGAGGUUAGCGGAAUAUGUCAUGUAGCGGUGAAAUGCAUAGAUAUGACAUAGAACACCAAUUGCGAAGGCAGCUGGCUACACAAAUAUUGACGCUGAGGCACGAAAGCGUGGGGAUCAAACAGG
rnacentral:rRNA from 1 species